GUCUCAAAAAUAAACAAACGUUAAAAAAAUUUUUUUAAUAAAAAUUUUUAAAAAAGGUGGAUGUGAGCAUGAGGUCAAAUCCACUUUUUCAACAUCAACAGAGUGACAGAUAAUCCAUGCCAUACCUAAAAAUAUGUCUCAUGGAUCUCCAUGCAAUAGACAAUUUACUAAUUUCAGUUUUUGUUUUUGUUUUUUAUUUUUUGUUUUUAACUCUCAUUCAUCAUUUCUAGCAAGUCAACAGUCCUUCUCCCAAGACCCUGUUUUAAUUGUGAAGGCAGCUGAUACUGCACUCUGGGCCAAAAUUUCUUAGAACCGUGUUGCUACUUCAGACAUUUGGUUCUAGGCAGAAACUGAGGAAAUAGGUAUACUCUGGAGGUAUGUCACAAGAAAGAUAUCGGUCUCAAAACCGGGUGUGUGCUCAUGUAAACCAGCACCCGUAAGGGGGAAAAAAUCUUUUUGUAAUAUAGAGGGGAAAAAAAAGCAGAGACUCUGUCUUUCCGGGCCAUUUCUUUGAGGGGAAAGGGAGGAAGGGGUGUGGAGGGGAAGAAGGAAAAAACAAACUUUAUUUUUGGACGGAAAAUGAGUAAAGGAUGUAUUAGACCCAUCAACAUCAACUCUGAAAUACAAAGUUUCCUUCAGUGUAUUCCAAAAUGAACAAGAGAUUUUCCAAGCUUCCUAAGAUCCUGGGUUCCUUGAAAGUACCAAAAACACAAUGGCUCAUUUUGGAACCAUCACUCCUAAGGCUGGACAGAAUUAAAUUAGGGAUAAUUUUUACUUUUCCAACAAGGUGUGUGGCGGGCUGUUUAUGUUUCUCUUUUAGAAUUUUAAUAACACUAAUUCUUAUCGAAGAGUCCUAAAUCAACCUGUCUCAGAAAAUCACUUUCUUUAUUCAUACAAUGAAACAAAAUCCUAAAUAUACCUUUGAGAACGGUACUCAAUUAUAAUAAUUUGAUUUACCUUCUAUUGCUUCAUACAAUCACUGAUUAUUUAAAAAAAAAAAAACUCAAAAAGCUUUUGGACCAUACUCUUCUUUUCUGAAAUAACUGUUCUGUAAAUAGUAAACCUAUUAUAGCAUAGGCAGUACUAUACCUUUUCCUCAGGGGGGAAAAUCAGAUUCACCUUUUUUCUGUCCCAAUUAUUUUCUUUUUUUUUAAUUUAAUUGUAAUAACACUUAACAUGAGAUCUUCUCUCUUAAAUUCUUUCUCUACCUAAUAUAUUCAAGUUUGAGUUAGAGCAUACUUUCUACCUUAAAGUAAAAUGUUACAAGCAUUAAACAUUGAGUCACUCAUUAACAUAUAAGGACUGGACAAAGGUAGAAAGACAUUUAAGUUUUUCCUGCACAAAGGAGGCAUGUGUUAUCAUGGCUAUCACACUCCUUCAUAAAGCAACAAUAGAUCUCCUUCCAGAAACAUCAUUUUCAAAAGGAGCAGGUACCCAGCUGUAAACAUCAUGAAGGAUGUGACGGGAGGGCGGCUUCCCUCCUUUAGGAGCUGUAUAUACAUUAAUCACUGAAUCACCAAGCCAUGCUUAAUUGCAAGCUGUAUAUCACACAAAUCCAUGGAAUGCAGAAAAGGUAUUACACCACUAAUUACAGCCCACACCAGCACCCCCACCUGAGCUGCCUGAAAGAAAAACGGAACUGUCUCAGAUCUGCAGCCAUCCCAAGCUUCUGCCUCAUUGCCACUAAAUGGUGGAGCUGAUAUCCAAAGCCCUGAGACCCAUUUCUGUACUUACUAGUCAGGAAAAUAUGAUGGUGACUAUGGAGUCUGGAAAGGGGAAGCCAAGAAGCUAAGCAGAUCCAGAAGACUUGGACAAACUAAAAGCUGUCAGACUAACAACAGGGCAAAGGCAGGACUUGCGCACCAAGGCACACAGGUUUAGCAGCAAUAUGCAGAAGAAACUCAAGGUUCCCAAGUUUACCAGGUGAGAAAGACAGAAUGAAGAAAUUACAUUGACUUCAAGUCAGGAAACUUGAGUUUGCAUCUCUAUUUUGCUCCUCUCUCCAAUGCUGUAUUCUUGGGGAAAUUACCCUCCCCGGACCUCUAUGUCCUCCUCUGUAAACGUCAGAGAGUUCAUCCAGGUCACUUUUUAUAGACUUUAAGCUCAAUUAUUCUAGACCGCUUCUGUCAUCACCAAUUUGUGUACUGUUAAGCCAAUAAUGCAUUUCUUAUGUUCAGAGAAGUUUUUAUUAACUAUCUGUUGUGCAUAACAAAUCUGUUAUUAGAGCUGUUUUCCAAGUAUGACUAGUCUACCCUCUUUGGAUUCCAAGGUAAGAAUGGAGCUUUGUCAUCAAUUCUGCCAAUGAGCUGUGGUAUAUUUACUUGCCAACGCAAAACCCUUCAGAACACUUCCCUUUGGCUCAGUGUCCAGUGAUAUUCAAGAUGUCAACUGCUCUGCCAUCUUAAGUCCCUGUGUGACGAAAAUGAUCAGAUUCUUUCUGCCAACCUACCAUGUACAGGAAGCAUAGCAAGAAAUAUAUCCAUAUUGUUUUACAUCUUUGAGAUUCUGGAGUUAGUUGUUACUGCAGCCUAACUUAGCCAGACCAAACUGACACAAGCAGCAGUCUGAAAUUAAAAUUACUGUUAUUCCCCUAUUAUUCUUGUAAUUAUGACCUAUAAUAAAAAAUGUUUUGGGGGUGCCUGGGUGGCUCAGUUGGUUAAACGUCUGACUCUUUGUUUUGGCUCAGGACAUGAUCUUGUGGCUCCUGAG